rnacentral:tRNA from 1 species
AAAAAGAUAAGCUAAAAUUAAGCUAUUGGAUUCAUACUUCAAUUAUAAAGGCAAAAUCCUUUUCUUUUUA